CCUACGGGAGGCUGCAGUGGGGAAUAUUGGACAAUGGGCGAAAGCCUGAUCCAGCCAUGCCGCGUGUGUGAAGAAGGCCUUCGGGUUGUAAAGCACUUUCAGUGGGGAAGAAAGCCUUGGGGCUAAUACCCUCGAGGAAGGACAUCACCCACAGAAGAAGCACCGGCUAACUCCGUGCCAGCAGCCGCGGUAAUACGGAGGGUGCGAGCGUUAAUCGGAAUUACUGGGCGUAAAGCGCGCGUAGGCGGUCUGAUAAGCCGGUUGUGAAAGCCCCGGGCUCAACCUGGGAACGGCAUCCGGAACUGUCAGGCUAGAGUGCAGGAGAGGAAGGUAGAAGUCCCGGUGUAGCGGUGAAAGGCGUAGAGAUCGGGAGGAAUACCAGUGGCGAAGGCGGCCUUCUGGACUGACACUGACGCUGAGGUGCGAAAGCGUGGGUAGCAAACAGGAUUAGAUACCCUGGUAGUC
rnacentral:rRNA from 1 species